GAUGAACGCUGGCGGCGUGCCUAAUACAUGCAAGUCGAGCGAACGGACGAGAAGCUUGCUUCUCUGAUGUUAGCGGCGGACGGGUGAGUAACACGUGGAUAACCUACCUAUAAGACUGGGAUAACUUCGGGAAACCGGAGCUAAUACCGGACAAUAUUAUGAACCGCAUGGUUCAAAAGUGAAAGACGGUCUUGCUGUCACUAAUACAUGGAUCCGCGCUGCAUUAGCUAGUUGGUAAGGUAACGGCUUACCAAGGCGACGAUGCAUAGACGACCUGAGAGGGUGAUCAGCCACACUGGAACUGAGACACGGUCCAGACUCCUACGGGAGGCAGCAGUAGGGAAUCUUCCGCAAUGGGCGAAAGCCUGACGGAGCAACGCCGCGUGAGUGAUGAAGGUCUUCGGAUCGUAAAACUCUGUUAUUAGGGAAGAACAUAUGUGUAAGUAACUGUGCACAUCUUGACGGUACCUAAUCAGAAAGCCACGGCUAACUACGUG
rnacentral:rRNA from 1 species